UACGUAGGCAGCAAGCGUUGUUCGGAAUUACUGGGCGUAAAGAGUGUGUAGGCGGUGCUCUAAGUUUGGUGUGAAAUCUCCCGGCUCAACUGGGAGGGUGCAGCGGAAACUAGAGUGCUAGAGGGUGGGAGAGGUAAGCGGAAUUCCUGGUGUAGCGGUGAAAUGCGUAGAUAUCAGGAGGAACACCUGUGGUGUAGACAGCUUACUGGACCACUUCUGACGCUGAGACACGAAAGCGUGGGUAGCAAACAGG
rnacentral:rRNA from 1 species